GGAGAGGUGAGAGGAGGAAUAGAAAAGAGAAGUUUAGGAGGAAUGUGAGAUAUUGUCUAAUAACCAAAUACAGGCAUCAAAAAAAACAAGAGCCAUCAUAAACACAAACAGGCAUCAUAACAGCACAAUACAGGCGUCGUAACACAGACAUACAGGCGUCGUAACAUCUGAAUAGAAUCUUAAUAGCAACUCAUUACAGGUGUAAUAAACAUAAAGACGUAAUAAAGUGAUAACAUAAGAAGCAUAAGUAGCGGCAUAAAGCAACAAAGGCAUUAACGUAACAGGAACAGUCAUAACACGAGCUUUAUAACCAAUCAUAAGGUGU